AUAUAAGUUAUUAUUGUUAUUUAUUUAGAUUAUCAUUAUUUUUAUAAAUAAAUAAUUUUUUAUUAAAAUGAUUAGAAAAAAUUUUUAUUAUUAUAGUAAAUUAGUAUUGUGAAAGAAAAUUCUUAAAUUAUAAAAAGAAAAAUUGAAUUUUUGUACCUUGUGUAUCAGGGUUAACUAAAUUAUGUUAUAAAUUUAAUAAUCUCGAAUUUAAAAGAGUUAAUUAUUUGUAAAUUUUAUUGUAAAAUAAAUAUUUAAAAUAAAUAGUUAGUAAUGAAACGUUAAUCGUUUUUAAAUAUAUCUAGUUUCUAAAGAAAAAAAUUUAAUUUUAUUUUUAAGUAGUAAUUUUUUAAUUAUUUAAUUAAUUUAUAGUUAAAAAUAAAGUUUUUUGGGGAUAAGCUUAAGAAAUAAAAUUUAAAAUUUUUUGUUUAAAUAAUAAGUUAUAGGGAUAAAAGUUUCUAUAAAUAAAAUAAUGUUAUAAUUAAUUAUUUUAUAAAUAUGAUUUUAAAAAAAUUUAAUUUUUUUAUUUAGAUUAAUUAAUUAAUAAAUAUUUAAUUGUAAUAAUGAUUAAAUUAGUAAAUUUAUAUGUAAAAUAUUUUGGAUAUAGAAGGUAAGUUUAAGUAAUUCGGCAAAUUUAUUUUUCACCUGUUUAUUAAAAACAUGUCUUUUUGUUAAUAAUUUAAAGUCUAAUCUGCCCACUGAGAAUUUAAAUGGCCGCGGUAUUUUGACCGUGCAAAGGUAGCAUAAUAAUUAGUUUUUUAAUUGAAAGCUGGAAUGAAUGAUUGAAUGAGAAAAUAACUGUCUCAAAUUUAUUUAUUUUGAAUUUUAUUUUUAAGUAAAAAAGCUUAAAUAAAGUUAAAAGACGAGAAGACCCUAUAGAGUUUAAUAAAUUAAUAAUUAAAAAUAAUUAAAUUUAAAAAUUUAUAUUAUGAAAUUUAUUUGGUUGGGGUGAUUAAAAAAUUUAAAUAACUUUUUUUUAUUAAAUACAUAAAUUUAUGAGUUUUUGAUCCAUUUUUAGUGAUUAAAAGAAUAAAUUACCUUAGGGAUAACAGCGUAAUUUUUUUUAAGAGUUCUAAUCGAAAAAAAAGGUUGCGACCUCGAUGUUGGAUUAAAGUAAAAUUUUGGUGUAGAAGCUAAAAGAUUGGGUCUGUUCGACCUUUAAAACUUUACAUGAUCUGAGUUUAAACCGGUGUGAGCCAGGUUGGUUUCUAUCUUUAUAAAAAGUAAAUAUUUUAGUACGAAAGGACCAAAUAUUUUUUAAAUUAAUUAAAUUAGAAUAAAAUU
rnacentral:rRNA from 1 species